rnacentral:rRNA from 1 species
UGCGAAUGAACAAGGAUAUGCUUAGCUUGACAAAUGGAGCUAUUGGCUUUGAAUUGUAUUGUGGAAAUGUAUUACCAACAGAGGUGCAGGUGCCAGCCUAUUGAAAUAAAGCGUCAAUGAGGGUGAGAAUCCUGUUUGUCAUGUGCAGCCCUUUGUGCACGGUGUAUAUUUGCUGAGUCACACUCCUUGGCAUUGGAAUGCAAAGUGGGUGGUAAGUUUCAUGUAAAGGUAAACAUGCAAUUGAGACUGAUAGCACACAAGUACCAUGAGGGAAAUAUGAAAAGGACUUUGAAAAGAGAAUUAAAUGAGUUUGUAUUUGCUGAACACAAAGUAAACAGACUUGAUUUGCUUGGUGGGAGUGUUGCACUUGCUUGACAAGAGCUUUGGGCUGUGGGUGUAAUGAUUCUUUCUUUGCAUGCCAGUUUCUAUUUGUACAUCUGAUUACCUUUGCACAUGAAUGAUAAGUCUCCUGUGGGGGGUGGAUUGCAUGUGCAUGUAAUGAUUUGUGUUUUGAUAAAUGUGUCUGGUGUAUGUGUGUGUUCCUGUGCUUGGGGAUGCUUCCUUCCUUGGACUUACAAGCCCUGACACACACAUGCUGGCAAAAUGCUUCUGCUUGACCCGUCUUGAAACACGGACCAAGGAGUCUAACAGAUGUGCAAAGUUUGAAGGUGGUAUACCUUUGUGUGCAAUGAAAGUGUCAGCUGGGAUAUGUGCACCAGCACCCAAUUAAUUAGCGGACAGAGGUUUGAGUUGGAGCAUAUCUAUUAGGACCCGAAAGAUGGUGAACUAUGCCUGAACAGAAUGAAUUCAGAGGAAACUCUGAUGGAGGUUCGUAUCGAUACUGACGUGCAAAUCGUUCGUCAUAUUUGGGUAUAGGGGCGAAAGACUAAUCGAACCAUCUAGUAGCUGGUUCCCUCCGAAGUUUCCCUCAGGAUAGCUGGAGUUGCUCAGUUUUAUCAGGUAAAGCGAAUGAUUAGAGGAAUUGGGGACAGGUUUGUCUUUGACCUAUUCUCAAACUUUAAAUGGGUAAUAUGUAGUGGUUGCUGUAUGGAACUU